rnacentral:sRNA from 1 species
UGUUAACGGUGGAUUAUGAUGAUGAAUUUAAAUGAUUAAUAAACAACAUACAGUGUAGACAGUGUAGGGGCAUCAAAGCAAACACCUGUAGGAAAGUCGAGGAAAAGUCGGAGAAAAUUAUAAUAAAAAUGCGUGCUUUCAUACAUUUUUAUGUCCCCUUGUGUAGUUUUUCCUUCUUCCCCGCUUCUUUUUUUACAACUGUCUGUCAGUCAAGGCAAGUUGACGUGGAAAUGGCAAAAAAUGGAAAGAAACGAAGAACCAACUAACUAGUCGCUUCAAGCUUGAGUGAUCGCAGUAAAAAUAGGAGUAGUGGCCAUUAAAGAGAAAGAAAAUGAGAAACGGAGACAAAGAACGGCUCAAGCAAAAGGUUGGCAGCUCCAGCUUUCAAGUUCCACCUGGUAAAACCCCAUCGUAGACCCCCUAGUUUUACCUUUCGGUUAUUCAGUCGCUGCGGAGUUCAUAGUUGAAGGCAAAGGCAAACAAAAAGCGGAAGGAGAACCAUUACAUUACAACUCAGAACUACGAUGAAAAAGUCAAAGGCGGCUCAGUAAAGUAAGAUGCAAGAGAAAUUUACUAUAUAAUAUAUUCCGCUAUUAAAACGAAAGUUAUGUUAUUUAA